rnacentral:misc_RNA from 1 species
GAGGGCUAAUGUCUCAGCACCUCGACUCUCUGCCACUGGGGUCUAUAGUAGAUGUUAAAGGUCCACUGGGUCACAUUGAGUAUACUGGGACAGGCAAUUUCUUGGUACAUGGGAAACCCAAGUUCGCCAAGAGGCUAACCAUGCUCGCUGGUGGGACAGGCAUCACUCCUAUUUAUCAAGUAAUUCAAGCCAUUUUGAAGGACCCUGAGGACGAUACAGAGAUGUAUGUGGUCUACGCGAACCGCACAGAGGAUGAUAUCUUGUUAAGAGACGAGCUUGACUCUUGGGCCAAGCAACAUGGUGACAGGUUAAAGGUGUGGUAUGUGGUUCAAGAAUCUAUCAAGGAAGGGUGGGCAAUAUAGUGUGGGGUUCGUCACUGAGAGUAUCCUGAGGGAGCGUGUCCCCGAAGGAUCUGACGAUACUCUGGCGUUGGCGUGCGGGCCUCCACCGAUGAUCCAGUUUGCGGUGCAGC